rnacentral:pre_miRNA from 1 species
CUAAGGGGCUGAUCCAGAGCCCAGUGAAGUCAAUGGGAGUUUUUUUCCAUUGGCUUCAGUGGGUUUUGGAUGAGACCCUGAGUAG